UGUUGUGUCCUUUAUUUUCUUUUUUUUUGGUUUUUAUGAGGCAGUGUUUCUCUGUAUUGUUUCAGAGGCUAUCAGUCCAAUAUAUAAACAGAAUCUCAUGAAUCCCAUUGGUAUUCCUGGGUACAUAAUAAUCUUUGGGUAUAAGGAAAGAGUUUCAAAUGAAGUUAAGAACCAUAAUGGAUUAUUAAUGUAGUGACAAUUUCAUCUAAGUUAUAUGGGGUCAUCACUCAAAUGACCUUUACUUUUUUACUUUAUGAGACAUGAUGAUUUUCUGGUUUGGCAAGUCUUGGAUCCCAACAGGUAGCUUUUAGUUUGGACAAGCUAUAAGAGCCACUAGUUUAUAUUUUUUCUUCCUCUUUUAUUGAAUUUAGAAACAAACUGCUUCCACAUGUCAAUCGCAGCUCCCUAUCCUUCCCCGCCUUCCCCCAUCAGGCCCUCCAACCCCCCCACCCAAUCUGCAUUCUGAUAUUCAGGGAGGGUGAGGUCCUCCAUUGAGGAUCUCCAGAGUUUGUCAUUUCAUCCAGGGCAGUGCCUAGCCACUUGUUUUUCUUAGUGAUACAGAGCUAAGCUGGAAACUACAUCUGUUGUGAGGAUUUAUGUGUCACUCCUUGGAAUCAACCAGGUCCAACGGUAAUAUACUGUACUCCUUUGUUACUCUCUUGGACUCCACUUGCAAAAAAACUCAAAAUUGGUUUCUUCUGCGUAUAUCUGUAGGUAUUUUGCGAUUACAUAUAUUCUAUUGAUGGGUGUAUCAUCUCUCAAAGCAUUUUAAUUUCAGUUAAAUACAUUCACAUAUAUCAUAUCUUUUGGGGGUAAAAUAAUAAUUUCAUUGUUAUUUUUAUCAUGGAAAGAGACAAGUAGAGUGAAGAUAAAGUGUGCAAAUUAUCUUUAUGGUUUGUAUUUGUAAGAGAGUAUGAUAGCUCAUGGUAGAGUAUGGCCAACAGAGAGAGUGAUGUGGUAUAGCGCUAACAUGAGGUCACAUGGACAAUGGCAAUGACUAGAGAAAUCUCUGGUCAACAGUCUCUUUUUCCUUGGUGGCAGGUACGUUUCACAGCUGCAUGACUGGUUUCUCCCUGGGAAUGCCACAUCGGUGACAGAAGUAUCUAUCCUGUAAUGUCUCAGAAGCCUGCUUAUGAUAAUCUCAGAGUCAAUCACAGAGAACUGCAUCUCCCCAAAUUCUGAGAAGCUUUCAUUGAAGAUACAGUGUCCACAAGUAGUUGGUGAGUCUGACAGUGCUGUUUAAUGUAGUUGCAUUCAAAAACUACCACCAUGCUUCCUUUCUGCAUCUUGAGAAGCUGAUAUUGUAGGAGACCUCUUCCCUGAGCUUAUGUGACCAAUGAAAGCAGAGGCUGAUACCCACAGAAAAACAAUGAAUUGAACUCCUGGAAUCCAGUGUCAGAAAGGGAGAACUGAUGGGCAAAUAGCUAAUACUGGGCUUGUUUAAUGCACAGAAACAGUUGACCUGAACAAGAGGGACUUCUUGGACCCCAGAUUGAUGGCUGUGUGGAGAGCAUGGGGCUGACCCAGAAUUCAUGAAGAAAUUUCCGCUAUUAUUUAAGGAUACUGAUGUAGGUGUUACAAACCUGCUCAUGGUAACCUCAGACUAAAGCACAGAUGAAAUGCUUCUCCCCAACCGCUGAGAAGGCUUCGUUGAAGACGUGCUCACCAUACCUAACUUGUAGUCUGUCAGUGCUGUUUAAUGAAGUUGCAUUCAAAACCUACAACCAUGCUUCCUUUCUGAUCCUGAGACAUCUUCCCUGAGCUUAUGAGUCUGACAGUAAUGCUUAAUGAAGUUGCAUUCAAAAACUACAACUAUGCUUCCUUUCUGCAUCUUGUGAAACUGGCAUUGGAGGAGACAUCUUCCCUGAGCUUCUGGUAUUGUAAAACCAACAUCCACAUUUUAUUUGGAUUGUUACAAACAGAUCUGCUGGAAAUCUCCAUAAUAACUGCAGAACUUGGAUUUCCAUCACUAUGUUUAGGAUGUCUCUCUUUAUUGGCACAAACCUAUUCCCUAUAUGAUGGUACACAACCAAUCACAGGAACCACAACUCAUGAAACCAGACAAUACUGCAAACAUAAUACAAAAUAAAGAAUACAUGUUGGGUAUGCUUCAUACCUCUGUGACUGUUUUCUACCUACAUGGAUCCUUCUGUGUUUACAGAGAAAUGUGACUUAUGAUGACUUUCAGCUCUGAGAGAUACAAUUGGUUUAGGUAAGAACUGUACCAAAAACAGUGUGAAGCUGUCAAUUCGGCAAUGGCUUCUCAUACAGCAGGCAUAUUGAACAAAAGACAUCAUUUGAAAAUUUCAUUUGUCAUUCUUUGUAGGCAUGGACGCUGAUAUUGUAAUAGGGCACAGUUUAGACCAAUAGUUCACAGCAGCCACUGGCACCUACAAAGCUGGACCCUGAUGGAGUCAUGUUGCUAUUAGUUCAGAUGUCUGUGGUAAUGAUCAGCAAGGAUUAAUCAACAUGAAAAUCUCUAGAGUUGCGGAAAAAUUCCAUGAUUCAUAUUUUUAAUUUUUUAUAGUGGCAUAUAUUUUACUAUGUUUAAUUAAAGAAAACACCCGAAUUCUUUGGCAUUUGUAUAUUUUUUCAUAUAGAGCAUGCGAGGAUGUGUUUACGGCUCCUUCUUUUUCCCCUCUGUCCCGUCAAAUGUCUCAUCUUAGAUAAAUCUGCUACACUAUAUUUUAGCAUGUAUCACUGCAGGUAGCUCUUUAGCUAGCAGAUACACCCUGUGAUGGUUUUUCCCUAUUCAGUUUGGCAUUUUUAAAAAAAAUUAAGAUACAAACAAUGAACCUUUAGAGUCGUAUAUAAAUCAUGCUUCCUCAUAGCAGGCAUUGUAUUCCUGUGUAUCUUAUGGCCUUUCUGCCACCUCUUCCAAAAUAUUAUCCAAGUGUUUUCUUUUUGUGUUUAUCAAUUGUUAUUGGUCAUAACAAGGUCUGUUGCAUUUUGACCAGUGGAUUAUUUUUGCCGUAUCCUUCUACUUGAAAAUAAAGCUACUUUGCUGAGGGGGAGUGCUACACAGAUCUGUGGGUAAAUGGAUAAAUAUUUUAAAUGCUUAUAUACAUUUUAUUGCCUUAUUUUUUCCAUUAAGUUUUCAUGUAUUAACAUGUUGGCUAACCAUAUUUGUGUUUGUCUUACUAUUUCUGUAGAAAUCAUAUGAUACUCUUUUCAACAAGACAUGCUUUAUAUUUCUUGCCAUAGAAUAACCUAUUGCUCCUUUUCUAUAGCAAUGCACGGAGGGCAAUGUCUGGUAAAUAUUCUUUGAUGUGGUAUCCACUAGUACCUUUAUUUUUUGACUCUUGGUUAAGUACAGAACCUUUUAGGAUCCUUCGUAUAUCUUUCUUUUAAAUUGAUAAAAUUCUAGUUCUAUGUAUGACUUGAUAUGUUGACUGUUUUCUUCUUCUUGGAUUCAUCUUUCUUAAUACAUAUAUUUUCAUACAUUUAUAUAAUUCACAUGUGGAUUUGAACUGCUGAAAAAACCUUACAUGCAAUAUAGUAAAUGUGAAUGCUCGGAGAGAAGUUUAGCUCACAUGUGAUGUAGAAUGUAGCACAGAUUCCUAUGUGCUGCUCAUCUUAAAUCAUAGUGGCUCACAGUAGGAAAACAUAGACACUUUCCUGAUUUUUAAUCUUUAGAAAAAUAAAUUGAACUUUGGAGUGACACUCAGAGAUAUGGCAGAAUAAUUACAUAGAAUUACAUAGAGUAUCCAUGUAUAUGAUAUUUUAAUUUUAUACAAUGGUCAGUCUUUAGGUCUUUGAAUUACAUUCAUUGUUCAACCAUAUAGACCUUGAAAUAUAUCCUAUGUGUAACUUUUUCUUUUUUAUUUUUAUUUUUACUUUUAUUUUUUUAUUUUAUUUUCCAGUUUAAAUUUAGAUAAGAAACAAGGUUGCUUCACAAGGUCAGAAUAUGCCUGGGUGGGAAGUUGGUUUAGGCACAAACACAAUUUUAAUUAUGAGCACCAGAGUUUAUUCCUAGAAUACAGAAGUAAACAUUCAUGGAUAGUUGUGGCUUUGCUAUCAAGUCCAUGAUGGUCAUUGACAGAAACAUCCGUAUUUGUUUCAAGAAAAGUAAGAUUAUGUUUUGAAAUUAAAUGUUAAUAAUUGUCUCUACUGGGCCAGAGGUAAUAGGUGUUAGAUCCCUCAACUUAUAACUCUAUGUACAAUACUUGCUUGGCCUAGGUCAAGCUAACAAAGUCUCAAUCCCAGCUCUCUCUCUCAUCCCUCCUCCAUUGUCCCUCCAUGUGCUGUGGUUAAAUGCAUAAAUCACCACUCCCUGGCUUGAAUAUGAAACUAUUAAUUUCAGGAGAGACUUGAGUAUUAUUGACUUUUGUAUUUUUAUAUUUUUUUGUUUAAUGUUUCUUAAGCCAAUAAAUUGUGACAUUAAACUAUAAAUGCAUGUUAUUAGUAAUUUUAAAUACAUGUUUAUAGCUUUAAGAAAACUGUGAUUUAUCCCUAUUAUGUUCAUUAAUUUAUAUCAUUUAUUUCUCUUACAGAGUCUGACAGUAAUGCUUAAUGAAGUUGCAUUCAAAAACUACAACUAUGCUUCCUUUCUGCAUCUUGUGAAACUGGCAUUGGAGGAGACAUCUUCUCUGAGCUUCUGGUAUUGUAAAAGCAACUUCCACAUUUUAUUUGGAUUGUUACAAACAGAUCUGCUGGAAAUCUCCAUAAUAACUGCAGAACUUGGAUUUCCAUCACUAUGUUUAGGAUGUCUCUCUUUAUUGGCACAAACCUAUUCCCUAUAUGAUGGUACACAACCAAUCACAGGAACCACAACUCAUGAAAACACACAAUACUACAAACAUAACACAAAAUAAAGAAUACAUGUUGGAUCCUGAUCUAAGAUCUCACAAGCCUGCUCAUGGGUCAUCUUAGACUAAAGCACCGAAGAAAAGCUUCUCCCCAACAUCUGACAAGGCAUCAUUGAAGACAUGCUCACCAUACUUGACUUGUCGUAUUGUAGAUCUUGUUUUUUCUUUUAUGUUCAUAUUGUAUUACUACUUUCUUUCUUACAACAUUCCAUUUGUACUGUUCUUUUUUUACUCCUGGGAAAGUUCAGAACCUUUAGGAUCGUGGGUAUUUAUUUAUUUUAAAUUGAUAAAAUUUGAAUUCUGUGUUUGAACUGAUUUGUUGAGACUCUUUUUCUUCUUAUUAAAUUAGUGUUUCUUUUUUUUUCGGUUUUUCAAGACAGGGUUUCUCUGUAUUGUUUUG